CAGAGUGCGAAGAGACACGGCAGAUGCAGUCCAGACAUGUUGGGGGAGCUUGGAUCCAACACAAGAGUGGAACUUGGGGGGAGGAUGACCUGAUGACCCGAGUUUCCAAUAACAUGCCAUAAAUAAUGAGCUGCGCCGGCGACAGCCAGAUCUUCCACAUAUCAUGGACAGGAUGAAGCGUACUCAAGGGCUGAAUGGCCAAGCAAACAGAUGCAUUAUGAAAUGAGGCUGAGGUUGGAGAUAUGGAGAUAAACAUCCACAAUGCCCUGACAACAUUGGCACCAAAUAUCAUCAGGGCGGCUCUGCUGGGGAGCCACAAGGGACAAUUCACCACCUUGAUGACUGAGGCCAAAGCAGACGAUCAUCUGAAGAGUGCUGCGGUCCUCAUCGUACCAGAGCAGAAGUUUUGCUACUUGGAUGAGG